GAUGAACGCUGGCGGCGUGCCUAAUACAUGCAAGUCGAGCGAACAGACGAGGAGCUUGCUCCUCUGACGUUAGCGGCGGACGGGUGAGUAACACGUGGAUAACCUACCUAUAAGACUGGGAUAACUUCGGGAAACCGGCGCUAAUACCGGAUAACAUGUUGAACCGCAUGGUUCAACAGUGAAAGACGGUCUUGCUGUCACUUCUAGAUGGAUCCGCGCCGCAUUAGCUAGUUGGUAAGGUAACGGCUUACCAAGGCAACGAUGCGUAGCCGACCUGAGAGGGUGAUAGGCGACAUGGGAGCUGAGACACGGUCCAGACUCCUAAGGGAGGCAGCAGUAGGGAAUGGUCCGCAAUGGGGGAAAGCAUGACGGAGCAACGGCGCGUGAGUGAUGAAGGUGUUCGGAGCGUAAAAAUCUGUUAUUAGGGAAGAACAAAUGUGGAAGUAACUAUGCACGGAUUGACGGUACCGGAUCAGAAAGCCACGGCUAACUACGUG
rnacentral:rRNA from 1 species